AUUUGAUCAUAAAAUCCAAUCCACGGUGUCGAAGAUUUUAAUUUGACCGGGGACAAAGUGAUACGGAAAUACUUCCUCAAACAGCGUAAUUAUGAAAUACCUUUUGACAUGAAGAUUGCAUCGGGGAGAAGAACAAUGGAAGUGCCAGGAAGUGUGGAAGACGUAGCAUUGGAGACAUGGAAAGAGAAAGUGAGGGAUAAGGAUAGGGUAGUUGGCUUGGAUCGAGACGAAUUCGGAUUAUUCUCAAUUAAUUAAAUACCGACCAAUAGCUGAAGCUUUCCUGGACAAAAAAAAAAAAAGGAGAAAAAAGGAAAAGAAGAAGAGGUACAGAAGAAAGAGAAGGAGAUUCCCUAUCCGCUGAAAGGUUUCUAGUUAAAGACGAAUUAAUUAAUUCCCCUGGCCGAUGUUGUAGGAAGAGUCGUCUGGAAAGAGAGCCUGAAUUUCCAAGGAAGUUUGCCAAUGGAAUGGUACUCUUGCAUUCGACCGUGCUCCGGCCAUGAUGAAAGGAGGAAACUAUUUUCUUUCUUCUCUGUAACAACCUCAAGUCCUUCUUUUCUACCUUCGAGCAUGAUAGCAUUAAUGACAUUAUACGCGUGUACGUUGAAAACGCCACGUUCCACGGUGUUUCGGGAAUUUUCAUGGAUAACUAUGAUAAUGUGACGCUUGGAAAUGGAAACGAGAGGAUAUGGGUUGAAAGUGUCGGGUAAGUGAGA